CAGCACCUCAAGUGGUCAGGAUGAUUAUUGGGCCUAAAGCAUCCGUAGCCGGCGCUGUUAGUUUUCGGUUAAAUCUGUACGCUCAACGUACAGGCUGCCGGGAAUACUGCAGCGCUAGGGAGUGGGAGAGGUAGACGGUACUCGGUAGGAAGGGGUAAAAUCCUUUGAUCUAUUGAUGACCACCUGUGGCGAAGGCGGUCUACCAGAACACGUCCGACGGUGAGGGAUGAAAGCUGGGGGAGCAAACCGGAUUAGAUACCCGAGUAGUCC
rnacentral:rRNA from 1 species